rnacentral:rRNA from 1 species
UGGGGAAUCUUGCGCAAUGGGCGAAAGCCUGACGCAGCGACGCCGCGUGGGGGAUGAAGCUUUUCGGAGUGUAAACCCCUUUCGAUCCGGACGAAUGUCCCGCAAGGGAUUGACGGUACGGGUAGAAGAAGCCCCGGCUAACUACGUGCCAGCAGCCGCGGUAAGACGUAGGGGGCCAGCGUUGCUCGGAAUUACUGGGCGUAAAGGGUUCGUAGGCGGUGCGGCAAGUUGGGAGUGAAAUCUCUGGGCUUAACUCAGAGGCUGCUUCCAAAACUGCCGUGCUCGAGUGCGGGAGAGGCGAGUGGAAUUGCAGGUGUAGCGGUGAAAUGCGUAGAUAUCUGCAGGAACACCCGUGGCGAAGGCGGCUCGCUGGACCGCAACUGACGCUGAGGAACGAAAGCUAGGGGAGCAAACAGG